rnacentral:rRNA from 1 species
AACGAACGCUGGCGGCAUGCCUAACACAUGCAAGUCGAACGAGACCUUCGGGUCUAGUGGCGCACGGGUGCGUAACGCGUGGGAACCUGCCCUUAGGUUCGGAAUAACUCCCCGAAAGGGGUGCUAAUACCGGAUAAUGUCUUCGGACCAAAGAUUUAUCGCCUUUGGAUGGGCCCGCGUUGGAUUAGCUAGUUGUUAGGGUAAAAGCUUACCAAGGCGACGAUCCAUAGCUGGUCUGAGAGGAUGAUCAGCCACGCUGGGACUGAGACACGGCCCAGACUCCUACGGGAGGCAGCAGUGGGGAAUAGUGGACAAUGGGCGAAAGCCUGAUCCAGCAAUGCCGCGUGAGUGAUGAAGGCCUUAGGGUUGUAAAGCUCUUUUACCCGGGAUGAUAAUGACAGUACCGGGAGAAUAAGCCCCGGCUAACUCCGUG